GUCCUCGUGGCGGAAUUUGGCAUACGCGUACGGCUUAGGACCGUAUCCCGAAAGGGUUGUGGGUUCAACUCCCACCGAGGACA
rnacentral:tRNA from 1 species